AGAUCAUGUCUCUGUGGGGUCUGGUCUCCAAGAUGCCCCCAGAAAAAGUGCAGCGGCUCUAUGUCGACUUUCCCCAACACCUGCGGCAUCUUCUGGGUGACUGGCUGGAGAGCCAGCCCUGGGAGUUCCUGGUUGGCUCCGACGCCUUCUGCUGCAACUUGGCUAGUGCCCUACUUUCAGACACUGUCCAGCGCCUUCAGGCCUUGGCGGGAGAGCAGGGCGAGGGGAGCACCAUCUUGCAACACAUCAGCACCCUUGAGAGCAUAUAUCAGAGGGACCCCCUGAAGCUGGUGGCCACUUUCAGACAAAUACUUCAAGGAGAGAAAAAAGUUGUUAUGGAACAGUUCCGCCACUUGCCAAUGCCUUUCCACUGGAAGCAGGAAGAACUCAAGUUUAAGACAGCCCUGCGGAGGCUGCAGCACCGAGUAGGGGAGAUCCACCUUCUCCGAGAAGCCCUGCAGAAGGGGGCUGAGGCUGGCCAAGUGUCUCUGCACAGCUUGAUAGAAACUCCUGCUAAUGGGACUGGGCCAAGUGAGGCCCUGGCCAUGCUACUGCAGGAGACCACUGGAGAGCUAGAGGCAGCCAAAGCCCUAGUGCUGAAGAGGAUCCAGAUUUGGAAACGGCAGCAGCAGCUGGCAGGGAAUGGCGCACCCUUUGAGGAGAGCCUGGCCCCACUCCAGGAAAGGUUGGGCUAGGGCUGAUGGGGAAGAGGGGGUGGCAAGCUGGGGGUGGGCAGCUGACCCUGCUGGAGGCCCUACAGGUGAGAGAGAGAAGAAGCCAGGCGGGAGGGCCUUGGAGUGGACCAAGAUGCAUGAAAGCCAGUUCCAGCGGGGCUGUGCACACUGUCGUUCAGGUUGCAUCCUGUACAAGUGGGCCCAGUGGAGGGGCACAAGCGGGGACUCAUCUAACCCAGGCUUCUCUCCUCAAGCCCCACGCCUAGAGGAAUAGAAAGGCUUUUCCAUUUGGUUUAUUGGGUGGGAACACUUUCCAAUUUGCCACAAAGCACUGUAAGUGCUGGCAGCUGUCCUGGGUGCAAGAGCUGUUGGGGGAGAGGCAGCUGGGUUUCCACAGGGGGUGUAGGCACUGAGAAUGAACCUCCCACCCAGACCCUAGGCCAACAGAUCACAGAACCCCCUUCAGCCCAGGUGCCUUGCAGCCACACCCACUACCCACCCCACUUCUCCACACAUGAUAGCCUUUCUCCCUGGGUAUAGGGGAAGGGGGUCUGGGCCGGAGCAAGCAGCCUUAAUCCUGUGCUCCCUGACCACUGUCCUGGCCCCAGGUGUGAGAGCCUGGUGGACAUUUAUUCCCAGCUACAGCAGGAGGUAGGGGCGGCUGGUGGGGAGCUUGAGCCCAAGACCCGGGCAUUGCUGAUUGGCCGGCUGGAUGAAGUCCUGCGAACCCUCGUCACCAGUUGCUUCCUGGUGGAGAAGCAGCCCCCCCAGGUACUGAAGACUCAGACCAAGUUCCAGGCUGGAGUUCGAUUCCUGUUGGGCUUGAGGUUCCUGGGGGCCCCAGCCAAGCCUCCGCUGGUCAGGGCUGACAUGGUGACAGAGAAGCAGGCGAGGGAGCUGAGUGUGCCUCAGCGUCCUGGGGCUGGAGCAGAAAGCACUGGAGAAAUCAUCAACAACACUGUGCCCUUGGAGAACAGCAUUCCUGGUAACUGCUGCUCUGCCCUGUUCAAGAACCUGCUUCUCAAGAAGAUCAAGCGGUGUGAGCGGAAGGGCACUGAGUCUGUCACAGAGGAGAAGUGUGCUGUGCUCUUCUCUGCCAGCUUCACACUUGGCCCCGGCAAACUCCCCAUCCAGCU
rnacentral:sRNA from 1 species